GCCACACAGUGUCUUUUUUGUUCAGUGAAGCUAAUUGGAAGGGCAAGUGCGUGAGAAAAUAAAACGAAGUUAAUAUAUAUGUGUAGUGCAUCGGAGAUCAUCACAAAAGUGCAACAAGUGUCAAUUUUUUUUUAUAUCAGUGAAAUUCAUCUAUAGUAUAUGUGUAUGUCCAUAUUAUAUAAGCUGCAAAAUUGUCGGCUGGAAAAUUACGCAACAUCCAGCCGCUCUUCUUCUUCUUUCUUUUUUUUUCUGUGCAAUUGGAAGGUGAAGUGCGUGAAAUAAAAAAAAAUCUAUAUAAUUUUAUAAAGUCCAAAUAGGUGCUAUUUUAGUCAAUCUAAUUGGAAAGUGAAGUGCUUAAAAAAAUAAAAAUAAAUGUAAAUGUUUAUAUAUAUAUAUGUGCAUCAGUUUUUUUUUUCAGUGAAUCUUAGUGAAAAAGGCGCGUAAAAGAAAUGGCCAAUUAAGUAAGUUUUAGUCCAUUGCAAAUCAUAAGAUUUGUAAGUCCAAUUGGAAGGCCAAGUGCAACAAGUGUGUCCACAGUGUUAUGCCGUGAAUCUUAUUGGAAAGGUAUAAAAGGAAUAACCUAUUCAACCAACAACAAUGUGUUUUAUUGCGCGUAGUGUAUUUAUUGUAUGUGAAUCUAAUUGGAAAUGAAAGUGAAUAUAGUGUGUGAAAAAUAAAAUGAUAGCAAAGGUGUAUUAAAAAUCAUCAACGUGUCGAUAUCAACAGAAUAUUCAUUUUACGCUAUAUAUUUCGGUAAGUG